CCGUUAGAACUAAAAAGCGCAAUUAGAAAAUUCAAAACCCAAAUACCAUUUCCAUUAUUCCAUACCUACAAUCUCUCUCUCUCUCUCACCCUCUCUCUCUCUCGCUCGCUCGCUCGCUAGUUUUUAAUUGUGACUUCGGUCUCUGUUGCUACCUCCGCGAGUCGAUCUUUUGGUACUGAAGGCUUGUUCCACCCGAAGAUGCUCAGAGUAUUGAGCUUGAUAAUCUGAAAACCUGUUACUGGAAUUGGAGCCGGAGUUGGAAUUGCCAGGCCUGCAUUACCUGUCUGGUUGGAUUCUCCAAUUCAAUGGGGCAAUUUGAGCAUGUCGAAUUUAGACUAAAGCCAUAUGAUGAUAUCAGUGUUGGUUCUCCUAGGUUGCUCUAAGAAUUUCUGUGUGGCAUGCCAUAGUGGUGUCUCAAUCAUGGAAGGUUAUGAGCUCAGCUACCUCUUCAAAUUUCAGCCAUAGCAGAUAUUAACUGAACAAUCUCUUUUGCCUUGUCAUGAACCGUGCAUGACACUUGAGCAUUUAGAGUAGAAGCCAAUCCUUCAGUGUUGUGUAAAUUCUUCAGGUUGGCUUAAAUCUGGGAAUGAUGUGCAUUGGGUCCUGCAUUUCUGGUGAUCAUGUUACGGCAUUGGGGAUCUGCAUGAAUUGCUUGUUUGGGUAGGUUCUUAGAUAAAAAAACAGUUAGGCAGAUGAUUUGGUCAGAGCAGGAUUUUCAAAGACAAACUUAUGUUGGGUUGAACCUGGACCGGGGAAAUCAAUGUAAAGGAAAUAGUGUAAAAAGAAGGGUGUGAUCAA